CUAGUCUUGGGUACAGUCUUGGCUGUGAUUUGAACAACUAUUUUAACACUUUGUAACUUCGCUACUUCAUUGUAAUAUUGAACUUAACCACUUUGGUGAACAAAAGCAUAUAAAAAUAUUAAAGGAAAGUCAACUUGGUCACAUAGUUGCCAACCCAAUACAUCACAAUUAAAUGUUCGAGUAAAAUAAAUAAAUAACUACACACAGUAGCAAUUGCAAAUCGAUUUUUUUAUCACGAAUUUUAAGUGACACUAGCAACACUCUCUCGACAACGCAAUUCGCGCUCUCUGACUUCUCAACUCACACUGACUGUUAUUUCGUCUUUCUCCCUUAGCAUCUCUGUUUUUUCUCAUAGCCCCACCACGCACGUAUUCCGCAACCGUUCGUGGCCAGAAUCACGUAGGUCUUUCUUCCGCGUAAAUAUUCGAUUGAAGGACCGACGACGACACAUAGGUUGUUGGUACUUCGGCUUUCUCGCGACAUCGUUUAUGGUUCGCCUGAUAUCUUUUAGGUUAUUCGUCCACGAUACUACAUGUAUGUACUUAUGUAUUAGUACCAUCUCUUACAUGCGUCAGAAAAAUUGAUACUUUUAUAAAUAUUAAUAAAAUUAUUUUAAUAUUAUUAACAAAAUUGGGGAAGAUUAUAGAUUCGCGUUUUAGCAUUCAAUAUUCAGAGGUAAUUGCGUAAAUAUGUAUGGUAUCUGUGAGAUGAAUAUAAAUUUUUGGAAAACAUUGAUCGGAUAACGAGAGUAUCUUCCUGGCUGAAAAUAAAGUUGGUAGGAUGGUUCAUAAUUGCAACUAUAGGAGAAACGUCUCAUUGUCACGCCUUCACCCGCGUGAAUGUUACGAAACAAACUUUUCGCGAUGUGAAUGCAAACUGCCGUUCUCAGUGCCGUUUCACCAAAUCCAUUUUGCUGCUACACGUUCAUUUGUGAAGCGUAGAAAUACGGCGAUAACGAGCGAGAAUAGCUGGCGAAUGUAGCAGCUUGCAUGAAAGAUCUAUUGAUGAUAAUAUGCGGUUUGGCUGCUUUUCAAUUAAAAUUUAUUCUGUUAAAUUCCCGCUAUCACAAGCAUUCUAUUCACAUUUAUUAAGAAUACGACUGUCAACUGGCGUGAAGGCACGAAAGAAAUUAAGAAAACUGUUAGGUUGGCAACUAAGUGAUUGCGGAUUUUGUCAAUACCACCUAAUGAUAAAACCCGCAAUCACUUAGUUGCCAACCAAUAACAUAAUAUCUGCGAAAGAGCGGAAUCUUGCGUUGAAGCAUCCACAGCAAUUAAGAAUUUGUAAAGUGUUAAAAAAACAUCGUGACUCGAUAAAAUUACGUCUGAUUCGCAGCAAUAAUUGCAUUUCGUUCCUCUGAAGUUGUCAGUAACUUGAAACUGCUUCGAUCUCGUUUACGUCAAAUUAUUUGGGUUUAGUCGUUUUCUUUUUAUUCUUUUUUCACCAACUACCAGCGCAAUAAAGAAAAUUUCAAAGUAGAAGGAAUUUUUUCGUCGUUAGAAAAUAGUUACGAGAAAAUAGUUAGAUAACGAGCGACUUCGAUUAUUGGCAAUUUUGUGGGGCGGAAUGGAACCGAAGAACUCGUUAAUACAAGAAGUUUCGCCAUAUUGGUUGAGAAUGAUACAGGUCGGUCGUGAACAGGUCCAACAACUUACCACGUCCCUGUCUUUCGAUUUAUAUCGUACGUGUAUACAUAGAUCGAAUUGUCGACAUACUUCAAUUUCCAGAGCAGCUUUUAAGCUCAAGUUAUAGGAAUCUGAUCGAUAACUAUUGGGUUGGCAACUAAGUGAUUGCGAAUUUUGUCAAUAGGUGGUAUUGCCAACCCAAUACAUCACAAUUAAACGUUCGAGUAAAAUAAAUAAAUAACUACACACAGUAUCAAUUGCAAAUCGAUUCCUAAACUAUAGAAUAUAUUGUUUUAACGAAGGUUCUGUAGCGAGAAAGAAAUUUGAAACUUCAAAAUAGAAAGAUAUCUUGUUUCACUAAUCCUAAAAUGUGUGAGUGAACUCGAAACCUAACUGUGUUGUCUGUGCCAGAGGAGAGUUGAAGUUUCGAAGUUCUGUAUAUUAUUUUUCACGUUCGCUUUAUUAAUUCAUUUCAGGCACGAACAACGAGAUCCUUUCUUAUAUUAAUAUCUUCAUGCUCAAGUUCUAGUUUCUUGUUAUCUUUUCCUUUUUCCACGUUACUCCAUAAUGUAUGCUUAGUUUCGUUCAAUUUUGUACAAGGUACAUUUGAAACCAACAGAAAGAAGAAACUCGUGACGGAUUUUAUUGAACCGAACACAGCGAUAAAAAAAAAUUGUAUGCUUUUCGGUGGUCGGGAAUUUGCGAAGGGUUCUAAGUUUUGGUUGCUUGAAAAGCUGUCCAUUUCGAUGUACGUGGAACGUCCUUCAACCUCAAUGGCUGGCCAACCGUGGACUCGCAAUAUCCGGCAAAGACGGCAUCGACAGCAGAAAAUAUAAGAGAAAACCGGAGAAUUCCAGAAUGCCACGAUUAUUCUGGUUCUUUCAAUCUUGGUGUGACACAGUUGAAACGAGUGCACGAGACCUUCGAUUGACAUAAACGAGUAUGGGGUGUGAAACGCGAUGAAUAGAGUGAAAAAUAUGUUUCAAUGGUGCAAAACCUCGAACCGUAUAAAUACAUGUUUCUUUAUCCAUCCGCCUUUUUCUCGCGUGAUAACGAGUUGCAAAAGUAAAUUCUAUUUUAUUCCGGCAUAAAUCCAUAUUGCGAAAACGACGCGCUACAAGUGGUUUCACAGCCGUUAUUAUUGAGCGUUCGAUUCAAGCCUUUAAUUAUAAGUGGGGAGUGUCGCUUGAGCAUCGAAACGAUCAAAUUAGUCGCCAUACAUAAACUAUAUAUAUUGUAGAACGAGAUGCUAAAUACGUUUUAAUAUAACCGAUAUGAGUGAAGUUGGCGCGAAUUCGAUAACGUUAUUCAAAACAAUGCAAAAUUUUAUUCGUAUAAUUUAUAAUGAAUAAAUAUAAGAAAUAAAAUUUUGUUCAUCACUAAUGUAUAGAUAUCCAAUUGAAUAAAUAUUUAUUUGAAUGAGGAA